rnacentral:snRNA from 1 species
CGCGACCUAUACCCGGCC